GCUUGCUACGGCAUCACAUAUACUAAAAUUGGCAUCCCAAUACAGAGCUUAGCAUGGCCCCUGUGCAAGGAUGACACACAAAUUCAUGAAGUGUUCCAUAUUUUU